GUGAGGAAUUUUCCGCAAUGGGCGAAAGCCUGACGGAGCAAUGCCGCGUGAAGGAUGAAGGCCUAUGGGUUGUAAACUUCUUUUCUCAGAAAAGAAUUAUGACGGUAUCUGAGGAAUAAGCAUCGGCUAACUCUGUGCCAGCAGCCGCGGUAAGACAGAGGAUGCAAGCGUUAUCCGGAAUGAUUGGGCGUAAAGCGUCUGUAGGUUGUUUAAAAAGUAUUCUGUCAAAGAUUAGGGCUUAACCCUAGAUAGGCAGAAUAAACUUUUAAGCUAGAGUAGAGUAGAGGCAGAGGGAAUUCCCGGUGGAGCGGUGAAAUGCGUAGAUAUCGGGAGGAACACCAAAGGCGAAGGCACUCUGCUGGGCCAAUACUAACACUGAGAGACGAAAGCGAGGGGAGCAAAUGGGAUUAGAUACCCCAGUAGUCC
rnacentral:rRNA from 1 species